AAGACCGAUCUGGUGCUGUUACAGGAGACAGAAUUAGCACACUGGAAGUUGAGAAAUGAGGAGGUGAUGACAAAGCAGUGUUUUGCAGCUUCUCAGAGAGAUUCAGGAGUCUAGAUAACAUAUUGGCAAACCAGAGAUAUCUGCAGGAGUUCAAAUAAGCCCAUCUGGAAGCCAGCUCUGCAGACUAUUUCCAGAGCAGCAAGCAAUACUGGUAAAGACCAAGCAAUACUGGUAAAGACUGAUUAAUUAUUUUUUUUCUUUAAUCCUGUCAUAGUCCUAUUCCACAG
rnacentral:lncRNA from 1 species